rnacentral:rRNA from 1 species
CUUUUACAAUGAAGAGUUUGAUCCUGGCUCAGGAUGAACGCUAGCUACAGGCUUAACACAUGCAAGUCGAGGGGCAGCAUGGUCUUAGCUUGCUAAGGCUGAUGGCGACCGGCGCACGGGUGAGUAACACGUAUCCAACCUGCCGUCUACUCUUGGCCAGCCUUCUGAAAGGAAGAUUAAUCCAGGAUGGGAUCAUGAGUUCACAUGUCCGCAUGAUUAAAGGUAUUUUCCGGUAGACGAUGGGGAUGCGUUCCAUUAGAUAGUAGGCGGGGUAACGGCCCACCUAGUCAACGAUGGAUAGGGGUUCUGAGAGGAAGGUCCCCCA